GACGGAGGAUGCAAGCGUUAUCCGGAAUGAUUGGGCGUAAAGCGUCCGCAGGUGGCAGUUCAAGUCUGCUGUCAAAGACCGGGGCUUAACUUCGGAAAGGCAGUGGAAACUGAACAGCUAGAGUAUGGUAGGGGCAGAGGGAAUUCCUGGUGUAGCGGUGAAAUGCGUAGAGAUCAGGAAGAACAUCGGUGGCGAAGGCGGCUCACUGGUCCGGUACUGACGCUGAGGUGCGAAAGCGUGGGGAGCAAACAGG
rnacentral:rRNA from 1 species